UUGCCAUGGGACUAAGGAAAUAUAGUAGCGCUUAAUUUUAAUAGUUCCAUCAUUGUAGAUUGGCUGGGUAUUAAUUGUGUUAAUGGUGAUCAUACUGAAUUCAUUUGGUAUUUAUUGAGAGACCACCUGUGCACCCAUAUGGUUUCCAUCAUUAUUUAGGAGUAGUUAAUGGACCCAUUAGGAGUUAGCAGAAAGAUGUGGGCUGGCAAUACUUCCCGAGAGUGGUAGAAACAUUCUGCUGAUAUCCAUUGCGUUUUGAGGAUUUUCCAAGGAGCUAUUUGCUUCCCACCAAUUUUCCUUCUCUCUAAGUUCCACAUAAUCUCAUCUUAGCUUUCAAAUGCUCCUGGAAAAAUGAAUUCAUGUUUCUUGGCCUCUCACAAACCUAGGGGGGCAACCUUUAGCCUUCUGAUCUUGCAAAACGUCCUUUAACAUGGUCCACACAGCUGAGGCUGCACCUGAAAUGCAAAAGCAUCUCCAAGCCUUACCUCCUGCUUUAUUCAGUAGCAAAGCACUGAAAGGACUGGAAACAAAGCAAGUUGAAGCUCUUUUCAAAGGUGUUGAAAACCCUUGCAGCAUCUCUUUUAAGCUAAGAUGAGCAGACAGUAGAUCUUCCUAGAAAUCCACACUGAAGCUGCUCUGUCCUGUAUGGAAAAGCAUUCAAUCACAUCUUCCACCUACAUGUGUUUUUAGUGGAAAUCCAUUACUUCCUUUUGAUGUGCUUUUGGGGUGUAAACAACAAUAAUGAAAACAAGACUCUGAAGGCAGUUUCCCUGUGUGAAGCAAGGCCUACCCAAGUGACAGAGAAGCCAAAGAGAGCAUUUUGAGAUUAUUCCAGUUCCAAAUGGAAAUUCAGCAAAUGAGAAGUGUUUGCAUACGUGCUGAACAUCGUGUGAAAGCUGGAUGCUGUAGGGGCUGUCUCUAAGGCCACAUAGCUGUUCCCAAACAGUAGCUCUGUGUUUAGAGGUCAGUGCUGCACUUAGCAAGCUCCUGUGCAGGGAUCUGUAUGAAAGAGGCUGUACGUCUUCCAUACUUGCAGCACUGGUACUGGGGCACCCAAAGGUGACAGGAGAAAGCUGCACACCUGUGGGGUGGUCAGGAUGCUCCGUCUCUGCAGGAAAAUGCAGAAGAGGAACUGAACUGCUUGGGGUAGGUCUACACCACCAGUUAACAACAGAUUUAGGCAUGUUGUGUCCAGCUGUCUGUGUGUGUUCCACACACACUGCUCAGUCACACAGCAUAGGAAAGAUUUCCCCCAGCCUUUGAUAUCUCCUGUGUCUAAAUACAUUUGAGUAACCAAUGUAAGCCUCUGUGCAGACACAACACUUGAGCUAGCUGGCUAGUGUGGCCUUGUUUAUAGCUAUUAGUGGGCAGAGAGGAGUGCUGCUAAAGCAUGACUCUUCUGACCUGCUUUAGAGGGUCCUUCUUAGAAGCAGAUAGGAACCCUAGAAAUGCUUGUUCUUCUCCUUUGAUUAUACACCGCAAUUAGCUCAGCAGCAGAUACCUGAGGUUUAAUGGAACCUGAGGUUUAAUGAACCCCAACUGCACUGAGGACACUCAGACGCAGAAAGAUAUUGCACAUGGUCAGGGUAUAAAGCUCUUCCAUGAAAGGUCAUAGACCUUUGGAGACAGACACUGGGUGCAGCCAGGUUCACUCCUGCCCUGUAUGAGGGAUCAGGCUGAGGCCAGCAUGUACUAUGGCUGGUCCAGCCACAGACCGUGAUGCUGGGCUAAGCACUCCUUUUUAUGUGGCUUGUGCAUUAACAUGGCAAGGAUGGAAAGAUCUAAUCCUGAGACUGGGUGUGAGCCUACACUUUCCUGACAAUCUUCAAGGUCUUUUCCAACCUAGCUGAUUCUCUGAUUCUGUGACAGCACAGAAUAUUCCUGAGCCACGUGGAGCCAGUGACACACAGCUUCACACAGGGGUUUGCCUACAAAUGGGGUCUAGCUUCGAGCUGGUGAUAUUUAGUACUGAAAUAGAGGGUGAUCUCUGUCACAAAGCUUGGGAAACAGAAGACAUGAAUAUGUGAGUCACACAUGCAGCACGGAUCUGAGAAUCUAUUGACACAAGAACUAGCUUUAAAACAUGGAGUAUCCAAAUAUUACAGAAUGGAGAAGUCAUACUGUGGCAUAGCAAAUUCCAGCCAGUAAGUGUUCAAUUUAGGAUAAUACUGAAAAGUCUGACCUCAGUUUUACCCAUGCAGUGUCAGUGUUCCAGUACAAACCAAGAGUUAUUUACAGUGGUGCCCUGGGAGAGAUGGGAUCUUCUGGGACUUUCUGGCUGCCACUGAUGUACAGUGACUAUUUGGGUUAGAAACAGUAUGCCUGGACCACUAGGCUGUAGGUCAUAAUACCAAAGAUAUUGCUGUCUUUUUGAUUGCGCUUAUUUCCCCUUAACAUAGGACAAACCCUUUUACCUCCUUGUGUCUCCAUCCAGCUCUUGUCUAUUCAGCUAGCCUGGGCACAGCUUAGCUGCAGCAAGCAACAGGUGAUUUUGUUACCCGAAUUGGGUGAUCUCUAAAAUUAAAGGGUCAAUCAGACCUUUGAAUCUGAAAGACAGCAUUUCUAUUUCGGGAGGAAAAAAACUUUUUGGAGAUGGGUUGCAAAGCCACAUCUCAAAUUCUCCAAGUUUCCAUCUAAUUCAGGCUCAGGUUUUUAGCUCAAGCACAUCUGGAACUAUUCCUCCUUCAAACAUGUGGUACAUGUCCUAGAAGAAAGUAUUUUUAAACAAAAUAGUAAUAAGAAAAGGCCCCAGACCAGGAGCAACCCUCUGCUUUUCCACAGAAGCAAGGCAGGGCUGCUACCCAGGGCAGUGCCAACAAAAGCCCAAAACAAAGUUAUGUAAUAAUGACA